rnacentral:pre_miRNA from 1 species
AUGGGGAAGAGGAAGUAAGAGAAGUUCUAAGGAUAAUGGGAUUGGGAACAUAUGAGAAAGCACGAGCUCUUCGUUUGCCCGUGGCAUUGGAGAUGGAAAUUCGCUCGCGGUUUUUCUUGAUGCCUCCCAUUCCUAUUAUUCUUAGGUUCUCCUUCCUCUUCCUUUUUCUC